GUGUGAUCCUGCAUUACUGCAUUGUAUUGGUAAAUACUGUAAAGAAGAAAUGUGCACACGGCACGAAGCAGUAUCAGAACAAAUAUAUGUUAAUUCCUCUGUUUCCUAUGGACAUUUAUUAAUUGAAGAAAUAAAUGGUAUAAAGGAUAUUGACUUGAUCAACUAACAAACACGAGCACAUGCAGUGCGUAUUGCAGAGAAAAUUUCAAAUUCCAAUAAGAUAAUGGUCACACUACGUAGUCGGUAAAGAAGUAUUUUUUUGAGAAAAAAAUCGAAAUUUGAUGAUGGCCAGCAAGAUUACCUGACCUAAAUAUAAUAAAGAAUUUUUGGGGUCUCCAUAAGUGACGCAUAUUUAGACCUUCAAGAUCUAUUAAUAAACACCACUGCGAAACUGGAUGGCCAGAAACACCAGUUG
rnacentral:lncRNA from 1 species